UGUUGCGGUUAAACGUUCGUAGUUGAAUUUGUGUCCCACACGGGUAAUUGGCCCACUUACGGGUUCUUAUUACUUGCCGGCUUGCUGGCUUUAGUGUGCGGACGUUUUACCGGUGAGGGAAACGGUGUAGUUUCGGCUGCAAUACGCCCCUUAUUUAUUUCAUAAACCCGUCUUGGUGCUUUUAAUCGAGUGCCAAUGUGGGCCGGUACUAUUACUUUGAACAAAUUAGAGUGCUUAAAGCAGGCUAAAUUUAAUGAAAGUUAAAACGCCUGAAUAUAUUUUGCAUGGAAUAAUGGAAUAGGACCUCUGUUCUACUUUCAUUGGUUUUUAGACCAAGAGGUAAUGAUUAAUAGAAGCAGUUGGGGGCAUUAGUAUUACGAGGCGAGAGGUGAAAUUCGUAGACCCUCGUAAGACUAACUUAAGCGAAAGCAUUUGCCAAGGAUGUUUUCAUUAAUCAAGAACGAAAGUUAGAGGAUCGAAGGCGAUCAGAUACCGCCCUAGUUCUAACCAUAAACGAUGCCAGCUAGCAAUUGUAUGUAGCUACUAAUUUUGGUUCAUACAGUCGCUUUCCGGGAAACCAAAGCUUUUGGGCUCCGGGGGAAGUAUGGUUGCAAAGCUGAAACUUAA
rnacentral:rRNA from 1 species